GCUCACCUAAUGGAAAGGUUCAGCAGCCUCACUUGCCCUUCUCAAGCCUCCCAGCCUUGCUCACACAGAAUGCUAAGAAUGGCCAGAUGCUGCCCAGGCUUGUAUUUGGCCUCAGCCAAGGUCAGGUUGUCUGGGAGGAAGCAGAGGAGGGGCACCCUUGCUUAGUAAGGAGGAGGAGGAAGGGCCCCAGACAGAGCAGCCUUGCAAGAUCUUUUAUGUGCAAGCCUGGCUCAUCAGCAACUCUGCUUGGAGUUCACCCCCAUCCCUCAUUUCCUCCUAUACCAGGAAGGGGUGCUGGGCAAUUGGGAGGGGGCAUUGCUUCCGAUCUGGUGUGAGGCUCACAUUCCUCUGCAGUAUCCUGGGGUUGCCUGCCUGCAGACACCUGGCUGGAAUAACAAUGAGUGGGAAGCUCAGCUCUGAGGAUGCUCUGCUAAGGGAGGCUAGUUCUGCUGAGCUCGCACUUCCUCCCUGCCUUUCCUUCCAGGCCAGGCCCUCUUUGA
rnacentral:lncRNA from 1 species